AUUGAACGCUGGCGGAAUGCUUUACACAUGCAAGUCGAACGGCAGCACGGGGGCAACCCUGGUGGCGAGUGGCGAACGGGUGAGUAAUACAUCGGAACGUGCCCGGUCGUGGGGGAUAACGUAGCGAAAGUUACGCUAAUACCGCAUACGAUCUGAGGAUGAAAGCGGGGGACCUUCGGGCCUCGCGCGAUCGGAGCGGCCGAUGGCAGAUUAGGUAGUUGGUGGGGUAAAGGCCUACCAAGCCGACGAUCUGUAGCUGGUCUGAGAGGACGACCAGCCACACUGGGACUGAGACACGGCCCAGACUCCUACGGGAGGCAGCAGUGGGGAAUUUUGGACAAUGGGCGCAAGCCUGAUCCAGCCAUUCCGCGUGCAGGACGAAGGCCUUCGGGUUGUAAACUGCUUUUGUAUGGAACGAAAAGGCUCUGGCUAAUACCUGGGGCUCAUGACGGUACCGUAAGAAUAAGCACCGGCUAACUACGUG
rnacentral:rRNA from 1 species